rnacentral:rRNA from 1 species
GACGAACGCUGGCGGCGUGCUUAACACAUGCAAGUCGAGCGGUAAGGCCCUUUCGGGGGUACACGAGCGGCGAACGGGUGAGUAACACGUGAGUAAUCUGCCCUUGGCUCUGGGAUAAGCACUCGAAAGGGUGUCUAAUACCGGAUAUGACCCUCCUCCGCAUGGGGUGUGGGUGGAAAGUUUUUUCGGCUGAGGAUGUGCUCGCGGCCUAUCAGCUUGUUGGUGGGGUAAUGGCCUACCAAGGCUUUGACGGGUAGCCGGCCUGAGAGGGUGACCGGUCACACUGGGACUGAGACACGGCCCAGACUCCUACGGGAGGCAGCAGUGGGGAAUAUUGGACAAUGGGCGGAAGCCUGAUCCAGCAACGCCGCGUGAGGGAUGACGGCCUUCGGGUUGUAAACCUCUUUCAGUACCGACGAAGCUUUCGGGUGACGGUAGGUACAGAAGAAGCACCGGCCAACUACGUGCCAGCAGCCGCAGUAAAAC